UACAGUUUUGGUCCUAAACUUGCCGUUGUUUUUUACCAGAAUUAUACAUGCAAGUCUCCGCACACCAGUGCAAACGCCCACUAAUCCCCCUAAACAGACAGCUGGAGCAGGUAUCAGGCACACCAAAGUCAAGCCAACAACACCAAGCUUCGCCACACCCACACGGGUCAUCAGCAGUAAUUGAUAUUAAGCAAUAGGCGAUCUCAAGCCUGACUUAGUCACGGUACAUUAGGGUUGGUUAAUUUCGUGCCAGCCACCGCGGUUAUACGAAAAACCCGAAACAACGGCCUUCGGCGUAAAGCGUGGCAAGAACUUUUGCCAAAAAAUUAAUGGAAAACUUAACCAAAGCUGUAAAACGCCACGGUAUAUAAGAACAACAACUAUGCCAUUAAGCCACUAAGGCUACUCGAACCCACGAAAGCUAAGAAACAAACUGGGAUUAGAUACCCCACUAUGCCUAGCCAUUAACACAGACAGCUAAACAACAACGCUGUCCGCCAGAGAACUACAAGCAAAAAACUAGAAACUCUAAGGACUUGACGGUGCUCCACACCUACCUAGAGGAGCCUGUCCUAUAAUCGAUACCCCACGUUAAACCCUACCGCCCCUAGCAUAAACCAACCUAUAUACCGCCGUCGCCAGCCUACCUUAUGAAAGAACAAUAGUAAGCAAAACAGUAAGCACUAACACGUCAGGUCAAGGUGUAGUAAAUGAGGCGGAAGAGAUGGGCUACAUUUCCUAAAAUAGAAAACACGAACAGCAAGAUGAAAUACUUGCUAGAAGGAGGAUUUAGCAGUAAGACAAAAAACUUUUUUUAUCUUAAGACAGCUCUGGAGCGCGCACACACCGCCCGUCACCCUCCUCAA
rnacentral:ncRNA from 1 species